GCUAAACGCGAAGAACCUUACCAAGGCUUGACAUGCAUCUCUAAGCGCGUGAAAGCGCGUGACCCUUCGGGGAUUUGCACAGGUGCUGCAUGGCCGUCGUCAGCUCGUGUCGUGAGAUGUUGGGUUAAGUCCCGCAACGAGCGCAACCCUUGUGAUUAGUUGCCAGCACGUCAAGGUGGGAACUCUAGUCAGACUGCCCAGAUCAACUGGGAGGAAGGUGGGGACGACGUCAGGUCAGUAUGGCCCUUACGCCUUGGGCUGCACACGUACUACAAUGCCCAGCACAAUGAGAACCGAGACCGCGAGGUGGAGGAAAUCUGCAAAACUGGGCUCAGUUCGGAUUGGAGGCUGCAACUCGCCUCCAUGAAGUUGGAAUCGCUAGUAAUGGGGCAUCAUCUACGGCCCCGUGAAUACGUUCCCGGGUCUUGUACACACCG
rnacentral:rRNA from 1 species